UUUUUUUUCUUAAACGCACGUUUUUAAAGGGGGAAAACGAAAUCGUCUGAAAUUCUAAAAUUUUGAAGAACCCCGCUUCUACCCUCUCUACUCAGUAUCUCCCUUCAUUCACUCCUUCCUUUUCUCUCCUUCUCUCUGUAAACCCUAAGCCAUCGCCACUGCCACCGCCAUUGAACCUUAAAAACUCAAUCCACACUUCACGCUUCUAUGACUCUCUCUUCUUCGGCUCUUUAAUAAUAGAACACGUGUUCCAUCCUAUGGGGAAAAUGAAAUCCCCAAAAAUUAAAACCCUCGCCUUUUGCUGAAAACCCUCGUCUCCUUUACAUGGCUGACAACCCCCUUCUCAUCAGAUUUCCAAGCUAUCUCUUCGUUUUGUCUGAGAUUGUUGUAAACUGCAACAUUCUUAAACUAGGGGAUUCAACUAAAUACCACAACCCAAACCUAUUCUGGUAAUUGGGAGCCAAUUAGUGCAAAAUGCAACCCUCCUACCACAUUUUCUCUCAAGAAACCUCAUGUACGUACACUUUUUCUCCCAUCUCUCGGUCUCUCCGAUCUUCUCUUUGUUUGUGAUCCUACCUACCCUGAAUGGUCAGAGCAUCCACGAAUGCUGCAAGCCCUAAAAGAUCUUAAUCACCGUCGCUCAUGUUACCUUCUACGAAUUCAACGUUGACCUCAAUCAAUAGGCUUUAGGAAUCAAGGGUAAGCUGUUUGCUAAGAAACGAUAUGCAGAAAAGGCUCAAAUGAAGAAGACAUUGGCCAUGCAUGAAGAAUCAUCAAGUAGACGCAAGGUGGAUGAUGAUGUUCUGGAAUAUGUUGUUCCUGCCUAUCUUCUUGAUCGUGAAACCACAACAUGUGCAAAGGUUUGUUUCUUUUCCUUAAAUU